CUUGAAAACCUUAUAAGAGGUCCAGCCUGCCCAGUGACUCUGUUCAACGGCCGCGGUAUCCUAACCGUGCGAAGGUAGCGUAAUCACUUGUUCUUUAAAUGAGGACUAGUAUGAAUGGCACCACGAAGGUUAUACUGUCUCCUUUUUCCAAUCAGUGAAACUAAUCUCCCCGUGAAGAAGCGGGGAUAAAAAUAUAAGACGAGAAGACCCUAUGGAGCUUUAAACAAAUAUACAACUGUCUUCGCCAUUAAAAAUUUCAGAAAAUAAACAACCACCCAGACAUUUUGAUAUAGAGUUUUAGGUUGGGGUGACCGCGGAGCAAAAGACAACCUCCGCAAUGAAGGGAAAUUUCCCCCUAAACCAAGGGCCACGACCCUACGUAUCAAUAAAUUGACACUAUUGACCCAAUACAUUUGAUCAAUGAAC
rnacentral:rRNA from 1 species